rnacentral:rRNA from 1 species
AUGGCUCAGGACGAACGCUGGCGGCGUGCUUAACACAUGCAAGUCGAACGAUGAAGCCCAGCUUGCUGGGUGGAUUAGUGGCGAACGGGUGAGUAACACGUGGGUGAUCUGCCCUGCACUCUGGGAUAAGCCUGGGAAACUGGGUCUAAUACCGGAUAUGACCUCUUGCUGCAUGGCGAGGGGUGGAAAGUUUUCGGUGCAGGAUGAGCCCGCGGCCUAUCAGCUUGUUGGUGGGGUAAUGGCCUACCAAGGCGACGACGGGUAGCCGGCCUGAGAGGGCGACCGGCCACACUGGGACUGAGACACGGCCCAGACUCCUACGGGAGGCAGCAGUGGGGAAUAUUGCACAAUGGGCGAAAGCCUGAUGCAGCGACGCCGCGUGAGGGAUGACGGCCUUCGGGUUGUAAACCUCUUUCAGCAGGGACGAAGCGAAAGUGACGGUACCUGCAGAAGAAGCACCGGCCAACUACGUG